UUAGGCGCUAGCAGCUGGAUGUUGAUUUUUUGGGAAGCGGUGGGCGCUUGUCGCAAGUCACAUCCCCCGUGAGCUCAUUAAGGAUGUGUGGAACGCCUGGCUGAUUGGCUUAAAAUACUGGAGAUCGACAGCCAGCGACAGCAUGUCUGAUUACAACAUGAGUGAGGGAGUGAGAAAGCAACAAGCCAAAUCAGCCCCCUGAAGUGAUAUGUAUUGGCUGGGGAGAUGUAUUUUUCCGUUGUUCUCUUGUGCUGUAAUCAAAGGGAGUGGCACUCUGACUGCGACUCCCAUCACCAGAGGCUAAUGGCUAAUCAAACAGGAGGGCUGCCAACCCUCAAUGGCUUUCUCUUGCUGUCCUGCACUCUCUCAUUUUCUCUUCUUAUUUAUUCAAGAGAUCUAAGCUCUGUAAUUAACAUGCAUGCUAUUUCCAAAUGGGUAUAUUUUAAUUGUCCCUGUCAAAAUACCAAUUAAAAUGAUCCCCCCAAAGUA